rnacentral:pre_miRNA from 7 species
UUAAUUCAGAGUCUGAUGGGAGUCCCCUCUGCUUUAACAUGGGGUUACCUGCUGUGUUAAACAAAAGCAAGUGCUUCCAUGUUUCAGUGGGGGUGUCUUAAACUGUUCAACAUUUUCUCU